rnacentral:rRNA from 1 species
AUACGGAGGGUGCAAGCGUUAUUCGGAAUCACUGGGCGUAAAGGACGCGUAGGCGGGUUGGCAAGUCAGAUGUGAAAUCCUACAGCUUAACUGUAGAACUGCAUUUGAAACUGCCGACCUAGAGUAUGGGAGGGGGAGAUGGAAUUAGUGGUGUAGGGGUAAAAUCCGUAGAUAUCACUAGGAAUACCGAAAGCGAAGGCGAUCUCCUGGAACAUAACUGACGCUAAGGCGUGAAAGCGUGGGGAGCAAACAGGAUUAGAAACCCUAGUAGUCC